rnacentral:rRNA from 1 species
UACGAAGGGGGCUAGCGUUGUUCGGAAUCACUGGGCGUAAAGCGCUCGUAGGCGGAUCUUUAAGUCAGGGGUGAAAUCCCUCAGCUUAACUGGGGAACUGCGUCUGAUACUGGAUGGCUUGGAUCCGGGAGAGGGAUGCGGAAUUCCAGGUGUAGCGGUGAAAUGCGUAGAUAUCUGGAGGAACACCGGUGGCGAAGGCGGCAUCCUGGACCGGUAUUGACGCUGAGGAGCGAAAGCCAGGGGAGCAAACGGG